rnacentral:lncRNA from 1 species
GAAACGUCUUAAAGAGAGCGACCUGGUCGUGACUCAGCCAGUAAGUAUUAUUUCGUGUCAUUUAGAAUUGCUGCAAGCUACGGUAACAACAGUUUCACUUCCAAUAUGGUAUUAGAGAACUCACUUUGAGAGCUCUGCUGCAAAACCAUCUUUCCUUCCUUGAUUACCUUGAUUUCCUAGCACUACACCAAAUUUUGCAUUUUGUGGAGGUUUUUGUGUGGAGGUUAUUGAAACCUCCACAAAUAAAUCAAAAAGGUGGGCCAAAAAAUUAACUAAAUGGAUAGUGGAGGUUUUUAUUUAAUCAGUGGAGGUUGAAAACCUCCACUAUCAAUUUCCCAUUACAAAACCUAAUCAACAAACCCCAAUACGCAGCAAACCUAAUUUUUGGACUCCCUUCCUCUUUCCAUCUCCUUCUUCCAUCUUCUCGUUGUUGAUCCACGCGUAGGUGACCUCCAUCUUUGAUUUUCCGGCACUGUUUUGGUACAUACUAUCUCUAUUAUUCUUCAAUCUAAAUCUGUGAUUUUCUCCUCUUCAAUCCAUUGAUCCACG